CCUCUCUGCUAUAUUUACCGUGCCUCCUGAUGGUGGUCCCUUAAAAGGUCCUGACGGUGUCUUCAGCAUUCUGCCGAGUGGCAGCAUUAUUUUAGUUCUGUGGCCGCUGCUCGUCCUGUCCCCUCCACUCCCAUUGCUGUUCUGCCUGGUUUAGGACUUGCUUUGGAUACUUUUGGAGUUGCACCCCCUGUCCUGUUGGUUUCAACGAUUGAAAGAUUUUCAGUUUUGCGUGUGGCGGGGAGCCUGGAGUCUGAACUUAUCAGCCAGCCAGUCAGGAUGUCUGCAUCGUUCCACGUGAAACAGCACCACCACCACCACAGUGACAAGAAGCAGCAGCAUGAGAGCAUCAGCCAUCACAGCUCUCGCUCCUCUUUUAGUCAGCUGUCAUAUGCUGCCCACAAGAGAAUCCAGCACAGCACCAUAGGGUAAGAACAGGAGGAUGAGGAGGAGAGGAGGACUGUGCCAUCUCUCUACUGCUCCUCUCCUCUGCUGUUUGAUCAUUUAUAAUCUAUCCGCGGGAUUAAUUUAUGUCCUGGCUGUAACAGUCUUGGUGUGGUGAAGUGACUGUUGUUCUAAUACGACUAAAGAUGACUGUAGUAGUAGUUUAUGUGUUGAGGGUUUUGCUUACUAUGUUGUGUUGACACAGGUAUGUGACUGACUGCUGACUUGUAUGUCUGGAGUAAAUAUGCUCUGUUGGCACCCUUGCCUCAAUCUAAGUAAUAUAAUAAUAAUGGAUCAGUUUAAGAUAGAGAUAACUGGGUGUGUUGGCCUUCCGUAUCUGCGGUGGAAGGUGGCCGAGCUACAGCGGUGUUUGUUAGACUAUGAGACAUGAAAACAUCGGUUUGACCUAUGGAGUGACCGCUCUAUGGAAAGGGAAGAGUCUCAUGAACACCAUGGUGUUCUCUGUUCUGCUCUACGACCACCACAUGUGACACAGGACUCACCUGAAAGUAAGACAUACAAACACAUUGAAGUAUGGAGGUAGGUUUGUGCCACCAAAAAUAAGGGUUUAAAUAUGUGUAAA
rnacentral:lncRNA from 1 species